rnacentral:rRNA from 1 species
UACACGCUGUGACUAGCAUAUCAAUAAGCGGAGGAAAAGAAACUAACAAGGAUUCCCCUAGUAACGGCGAGUGAAGCGGGAAGAGCUCAGAUUUGAAGUCUUAAAGGGUUUCCCUUUACGAAUUGUAGUUUAAAGAAGUGUUUUCUGUUGAGGUUUUGGUAAAAGUUCUUUGGAAUAGGACAUCAUAGAGGGUGAGAAUCCCGUAUUUGACCUUUACUUUCAACUUUGUGAUACACUUUCAAAGAGUCGGAUUGUUUGGGAAUGCAGUCCAAAAUGGGUGGUAAAUUUCAUCUAAAGCUAAAUAUUGGCGAGAGACCGAUAGCGAACAAGUACCGUGAGGGAAAGAUGAAAAGAACUUUGAAAAGAGAGUUAAACAGUACGUGAAAUUGUCAAAAGGGAAGCGUUUGACACCAGUGUUGUUUUUCUGAAAAUCAAUUAAAGAACUGUUUAUGCUAAGUUGUUUAGACUUUAUCAGCUAUCUGUUUAGUUUUGAGCUUUUCUUUAAUGCACUUUUCAGUUAACAAGUCAACAUCAAUUUCUUUUGCUGUAAAAAAGCUUGAGGAAGGUGGCUUGAGAUUCGUCUUAAGUGUUUAUAGCCUCUUGCCUAUGCAGUCGGAGAGAUUGAGGUCUGCAGCGUAGAUCCUUCGGGGCUAAAUGCAUUUGUGCUAAGUUAUAGCAUUUUAUAGACAACUUGUUGACUAUGAUUUGUCUUGUAGCUUACUCGCUUAUGUUAUUUUACCUACGCUUAGGAUGUUGAGUCGUAGAGCACGCAG